rnacentral:rRNA from 1 species
GUAGGGGGCCAGCGUUGCUCGGAAUUACUGGGUGUAAAGGGUUCGUAGGCGGUGUGGCAAGUCGGGAGUGAAAUCUCUGGGCUCAACCCAGAGGCUGCUUCCGAAACUGCCGUGCUUGAGUGUGGGAGAGGCGCGUGGAAUUGCAGGUGUAGCGGUGAAAUGCGUAGAUAUCUGCAGGAACACCCGUGGCGAAAGCGGCGCGCUGGACCACAACUGACGCUGAGGAACGAAAGCUAGGGGAGCAAACAGGAUUAGAUACCCUGGUAGUCCUAGCCCUAAACGAUCAGGACUUGGGGUGCCGCACGUUCGUGCGUCGUCCCGGAGCUAACGCGUUAAGUCCUGCACCCGGGGAGUACGGUCGCAAGACUG